rfam:Otolemur garnettii contig087996, whole genome shotgun sequence.
GCCAGGCUUGCGGGCGGGUGCCUGUAGUCCCAGCGACUUCAGAGGCUGCUGCUGGAGGAUCGCUUGAGUCCAGGAGUUCUGGGCUGUAGUGCGCUAUGUCGACUGGGUGUCCGUACUAAGCUCGGCAUCACUAUGGUGACCUUCCGGAAGGUGUGAGCAGGCCCAGGUCGGAAACCGAGCAGGUCAAAACUCUAGGGCUGAUCAGUAGUGGGAUCGCGCCUGUGAACAGCCACUGCACUCCAGCCUGGGCAUCAUAGCAAGACCUCGUCUCUU